CCUACGGGUGGCAGCAGUGAGGAAUAUUGGUCAAUGGACGAGAGUCUGAACCAGCCAAGUAGCGUGAAGGAUGACUGCCCUAUGCGUUGUAAACUUCUUUUAUAUGGGAAUAAAACGUUCCACGUGUGGGAUUUUGUAUGUACCAUAUGAAUAAGGAUCGGCUAACUCCGUGCCAGCAGCCGCGGUAAUACGGAGGAUCCGAGCGUUAUCCGGAUUUAUUGGGUUUAAAGGGAGCGUAGGUGGAUUGUUAAGUCAGUUGUGAAAGUUUGCGGCUCAACCGUAAAAUUGCAGUUGAAACUGGCAGUCUUGAGUACAGUAGAGGUGGGCGGAAUUCGUGGUGUAGCGGUGAAAUGCUUAGAUAUCACGAAGAACUCCGAUUGCGAAGGCAGUUCACUGGACUGCAACUGACACUGAGGCUCGAAAGUGUGGGUAUCAAACAGGAUUAGAUACCCCAGUAGUC
rnacentral:rRNA from 1 species